rnacentral:rRNA from 1 species
GACGAACGCUGGCGGCGUGCCUAACACAUGCAAGUCGAACGGAGUUAGCCCCUUCGGGGACUGACUUAGUGGCGAACGGGUGAGUAACGCGUGAGAAACCUGCCUUUCAGUGGGGGACAACAGUUGGAAACGACUGCUAAUACCGCAUAGUUUCUUUUUCCGCCUGGAAGAAGAAGGAAAGAUGGCCUUUGCGCUAUCACUGAGGGAUGGACCCGCGGCGUAUUAGUUAGUUGGUGGAGUAAUGGCCUACCAAGACGAUGAUACGUAGCCGACCUGAGAGGGUGAUCGGCCACAUUGGGACUGAGACACGGCCCAA